rnacentral:rRNA from 1 species
ACAAGCGGUGGAGCACGUGUUAAUUCGACGCAACGCGAAGAACCUUACAGGGCUUGACAUCCCCUGACCGCGUAUGAAAGUACGUUUUCACCCUCGGGUGACAGGGAGACAGGUGCUGCAUGGCUGUCGUCAGCUCGUGUCGUGAGAUGUUGGGUUAAGUCCCGCAACGAGCGCAACCCUUGUCUUUAAUUGCCAUCAUUCAGUUGGGCACUUUAAAGAGACUGCCGGUGUUAAACCGGAGGAAGGUGGGAUGACGUCAAGUCCUCAUGGCCUUUAUGCUUAGGGCUACACACGUGCUACAAUGGGUGGUACAAAGAGAAGCCAACUCGCGAGAGCGCGCCAAUCUCAAAAAGCCAUCCUCAGUUCGGAUUGGAGUCUGCAACUCGACUCCAUGAAGUUGGAAUCGCUAGUAAUCGCGGAGCAGCAUGCCGCGGUGAAUACGUUCCCGGGCCUU